GCCAGUGUGGUGCAGUGGUUUUGAGUGCUGGACUAGAACUUUAGAAGACCAGGGUUCAAAUCCCUGCCCAGCCA